UGUUCCCUUCGAUUUGGCAGCACAUUACUAAAAUUAGAAUGACACAGAGAAGAUUAACAUGGCCUCUGCGUAAGGAUGGCAUGCAAAUUCGUGAAGCGUUUCAUAUUUUU